CCUGCGGUGACCUUUGCGGGGUCCGGCGUCGGCCUGCUCAUUGCCGGCCCCAUCUGCGACUGGCGCGGGCGGAAGACUGCGCUGGUGU
rnacentral:SRP_RNA from 1 species